GCCUUCGUGGUGUAACGGUAGCACGCUCGGCACGUAUUCGAGAGGUCCAGGUUCGAGUCCCGGCGAGAGCA
rfam:Stegodyphus mimosarum contig48306, whole genome shotgun sequence.